rnacentral:rRNA from 1 species
AUACGUAGGGAGCGAGCGUUGUCCGGAAUUAUUGGGCGUAAAGCGCAUGUAGGCGGUUUGGUAAGUCGGUCGUGAAAAUGCGGUGCUUAACGCCGUAUGGCGAUUGAAACUGCUGAACUUGAGUGCAGGAGAGGAAAGGGGAACUCCCAGUGUAGCGGUGAAAUGCGUAGAUAUUGGGAAGAACACCGGUGGCGAAGGCGCCUUUCUGGACUGGUUCUGACGCUCAGAUGCGAAAGCCAGGGUAGCGAACGGGAUUAGAUACCCCGGUAGUCCUGGCUGUAAACGAUGGGUACUAGGUGUGGGAGGUAUCGACUCCUUCCGUGCCGGAGUUAACGCAAUAAGUACCCCGCCUGGGGAGUACGGCCGCAAGGCUUAAACUUAAAGGAAUUGACGGGG